CUUGACAUACUCGUGCAUUCCUAGAGAUAGGAAGUUCCUUCGGGACACGGGAUACAGGUGGUGCAUGGUUGUCGUCAGCUCGUGUCGUGAGAUGUUGGGUUAAGUCCGCAACGAGCGCAACCCCUAUUGUUAGUUGCCAUCAUUAAGUUGGGCACUCUAACGAGACUGCCGGUGAUAAACCGGAGGAAGGUGGGGAUGACGUCAAAUCAUCAUGCCCCUUAUGACCUGGGCUACACACGUGCUACAAUGGAUGGUACAACGAGUCGCGAGACAGUGAUGUUUAGCUAAUCUCUUAAAACCAUUCUCAGUUCGGAUUGUAGGCUGCAACUCGCCUACAUGAAGUCGGAAUCGCUAGUAAUCGCGGAUCAGCACGCCGCGGUGAAUACGUUCCCGGGCCUUGUACACACCGCCCGUCACACCACGGGAGUUGGGAGUACCCGAAGUAGGUUGCCUAACCGCAAGGAGGGCGCUUCCUAAGGUAAGACCGAUGACUGGGGUGAAGUCGUAACAAGGUAGGCGUAGCGAG
rnacentral:rRNA from 1 species